CACGUAGGGUGUAAGCGUUGUCCGGAAUCAUUGGGCGUAAAGAGCUCGUAGGCGGCCUAGUAAGUCGGGUGUGAAACCUCCAGGCUCAACCUGGAGACGCCACCCGAUACUGCUAUAGCUAGAGUCCAGUAGGGGAGUGCGGAAUUCCCGGUGUAGCGGUGAAAUGCGCAGAUAUCGGGAGGAACACCAGCGGCGAAGGCGGCACUCUGGGCUGGUACUGACGCUCAGGAGCGAAAGCGUGGGUAGCGAACAGG
rnacentral:rRNA from 1 species